AUGUCUCCUCUUGAGCAUAUUUCGCGUGUUCAAUCGGUCAGAAAGGAGCAGCCAUCCAAAAACUUUAAUUUUCAUGGUGGAUUUUCCUCGUCCAAUGUUGCGGCUCUAAAGCCUAACAAGAAAAGUUUCAAAAAAAGUCCAAAGCCAAAUACUCUGCCACCACCACAAAAUGAUAAAGCUAAAAGGUCAAAGCCAAGAUCAUCUCAAGCAUCACAAGAUGACACUAAUAUGGAUGUGCUGCUCACAAGUACUUUGAUAGGCAUACGAGAAACCCUUGCAAGUCCAGUACAGACUGUAGCCCCAAAGGACCCAAAUGCUCCUUUAUGGGACAUGCUCAAGAAGAUUCCGUUGCCACCUGAUGAGAGGAUGUCGGUCGGGAUGCAUCUAUGCAAGCCAGAAUUUGCAGUCCAUCGAGGUUUUCUUGUCAACAUGGGUCAAGAAUACCUGGAGCGUUGGGUGUAUACAUACUUAUCUUAUCUGACAAUUAUCCUGCUGGCAAACGUGUCGGCGAUGAUCUUGUUGGUAACCUUGGAAACAAAGAUCCUGCUAGUAACCUUGGCGAUGAUCCUGCUGUUAACUCUAGCCCUUUCUGAGUAA
rnacentral:rRNA from 1 species